CGGGUGAGUAUACUUGGGAACGUGCCCUUCAGCCGGGAAUAACAGCGGGAAACUGCUGCUAAUACCCGAUACUCCCUCCGGGGGAAAGAUUUAUCACUGAAGGAUCGGCCCAAGCCAGAUUAGCUUGUUGGUGGGGUAAAGGCCUACCAAGGCUACGAUCUGUAGCUGUUCUGAGAGGAAGACCAGCCACACUGGGACUGAGACACGGCCCAGACUCCUACGGGAGGCAGCAGUGGGGAAUAUUGGACAAUGGGGGAAACCCUGAUCCAGCCAUGCCGCGUGAGUGAUGAAGGCCUUAGGGUUGUAAAACUCUUUUAUCAGGGAAGAUAAUGACGGUACCUGAAGAAUAAGCACCGGCUAACUUCGUGCCAGCAGCCGCGGUAAUACGAAGGGUGCUAGCGUUGUUCGGAAUCACUGGGCGUAAAGAGCGCGUAGGCGGUUAUCCAAGUCAGGGGUGAAAUCCUGGGGCUCAACCUCAGAAUUGCCUUUGAAACUGGGUAACUAGAGUGUCGGAGGGGAGUGCGGAAUUGCUAAUGUAGCGGUGAAAUGCGUAGAUAUUAGCAGGAACACCGGUGGCGAAGGCGGCACUCUGGACGACAACUGACGCUGAGGCGCGAAAGCGUGGGGAUCAAACAGGAUUAGAUACCCUGGUAGUCCACGCCGUAAACGAUGGGUGCUAGCUGUUCGGGGGUUCCCCCUGAGUAGCGUAGCUAACGCGUUAAGCACCCCGCCUGGGGGAGUACGGUCGCAAGAUUAAAACUCAAAGAAAUUGACGGGGACCCGCACAAGCGGUGGAACAUGUGGUUUAAUUCGAGGCAACGCGAA
rnacentral:rRNA from 1 species